CUUGGCAGCUAGCUCUUUGCAACUCUCACAUGGUCGCCCACUGAAGCUAAGCAGGGCUGCGCCCCGGUCAGUACCUGGAUGAGAGACCACAUGGGAAAGCUAGGUUGCUGCCAGAA
rfam:Danio rerio chromosome 24, GRCz11 reference primary assembly.